UGGGCAUUGCAGAGGGCUCUUGUUGGGAUGAGCCCUGGGUGUUGUAUGCAAGGGAUGAAUGCCGGAAAUCUACUCCCGAAGCCAAGACUACAUCGUAUACGCUGUAUGUUAGCUAACUUGACAAUAUGUUAUUUUUAAAAAAUGAAAAAGAAUUUUGCAAGUCAUCCUAAGACCUUAAAGGUCUUGGCUCGGGGCCUGCCCACAUGAAAGGCUUGACUCUCCUUUUUUCUCUCCAUGGGGUAGAGGAAGUACAGGUGUACUGAGGGAUAUCUGGCUGCCAUAGAACCUCGCGGCAAACGUCAGCACCAUGGGUGAUAUUACUCUGCAUGCAAACCUGGGCGAGUGUUGGAUCUCGGGAAUAUUUUCUAAGAAUAUCCUUAGAUACGCAUCGAAGAAAGUGCCUGUCAUUAUCCUUAAGUAUGGUGGCUGCGUUUGUGACUUCAUCAAACCCUUUUGUACGUCCUAAAUAAAUAUUCCUUUUGGAAUCAAACUUGAAUUCCUCACUUUGGCCCACUCUGGUGUUCUCUCUGGUUUUUUUACCACCAUGAUAUUCCAACCUGGCUGUAUAAAUUUCCCUGAUCAUAAGGCAGUACCUUGGCAUUUUGAAACACUCGACAGACUUUAUUUUAUUUGAUCUUUACCAUGAACUUAUGUAGCUAGGCAUGGCCUAAGUUCCACUUUAUGGACAAGGAAACCAUAGGUUGAGAAGUUAAACACGAUUGGUUAUAACAGAGAAAAGAUAUAAAACCUGGCCCUCUUACUACCUUUUUUUUAAAGGAUAUCAUGUGAAUUGAUCCUAACUCUAAGAUGACAGAUGGCACUAGAACAAGAAAACUUCUUUACAUCUGGUAUAUACUUGAAAAAUGAAGAUUCCACACAAAUAAAUAUGGAAGGAAUUUUUAGCCUCUCCCCUGACUUCCUUUCUGGGGCCUGGCACUCCGCAAGCUUACGGAACAGAACCAGGACUUAUAUAACAACCCAAAGCAGACAAAGAUGUAGAAACUGUCAGCGUCACAGACAGAGCAGGAGGUGAUCAUUUUUGGAAGUGUGAACCAGCUGAUGGUCCGAGAGGUGGCGGAACCUCGGACUGCACUAGCGUGGCCCACAUUCUGGCCUGUCUCCUGCCUGCUCGACUUCAGUCGUGGACUGGAUGCCUUUCUCUGCCAGUAUCAGCCAUGUCAUAUGAUCCGAUGAACUAUUUUUGCGAUUCCUUCUUUUCCGUUCUGAAACAGCAAUCGUCGAUACUGUAGGCGCUGCACAUGCGUGCUUCGAAAAUACAGUGCCCCGAUUCUAAGACGAUGGAGAUUUCAUUCGUGACUUCAUCCUCACUUGAAGACGUAAUAGAUUAGUCAAAUGCUUGCAGCUAUGUGAAGAUUACGCAAGAAGGCACAGUCUGCAAGCCAAGAAAAAGGCUCUCACCAGAAGCCACAUCAGUCAGAGACCCUGAUCUUGCAUUUCAGGCUUCAGACCUGUGAGAACGAAAUGCCUUGUUGUUUACAUUCCAGCUUGCGGUUGGUCCUGAAGGCUGAGCAGACUAAGAUAGUAGGAUUCAAAUCGCACUGAGAGAUAAGUCUUUAACUUAUCAGAUGCUAACUUAAAUGAAUAUUUACUGCCAUCUAUAUAAGGGAAAACAGCAUACUGGAUGAAGCAAUUCUUUCAUUGGUAAAGAUCCAAUGCUUUGAGUAAAUCUUGGGAAAAAUUGUAUAAUCAAGUUUUUACCAUAAGAUCCCCCCCAAACCCUAUGACGCAGUGGAAGAACAACCUAGAUCUUGAGGCUAGAUUUGCAUGAGGAGGGAAUUAUAUGAGAUCCAUAAAAGAGAGGAUGAGGAGGAGCCAAAAGAAGCUAUAUCAAGAAUAUAAGCUCCAGCACUCAUAUGGGAUCUGGUGUAUGUUGCAUCCAGUUCUAAAGGUAAUUGUUACUCUGGUGAGUUUCUUUCUACGGCACAGUAUUUCACGUAUCAGGGAGUUUGCUGACCAUAAUUUGGAGGCCACUUUGCAGAGUGAAUAAAAGCGGAGGCUGCACACAGAUACUGGUGGAAUGUGAAUCCUGACUCCGUUACCUACAUUACCUUGUGACUCUGGGCAAAGUUCUUAAACUCCCCGCACCUCGGUUUAUUCAAGUAUAAAACAUGAACGUAAAGAUACCUCCCUCACACACGUCUUAGGUGAGAUAUUAAGUGCAUUAAAUGAGACAAUUCAUGCGAGGGAUUAGGAGAGGGUUUGGUCAGCAUUGGCUCUUAGAACGAUGAUUUCCUUUGAGAGAUUUAAGGGUAACAGAAUUACAAUUACUGAAAAGGUAACUGGGCUGUGGUGAGCCAGGGGACUUUGAGCCAUGACAGUUAUUGGUAUGGUGGCAGACAAAAGUCUAUAGGCAACCAAUAAUACUUGGGUGGGAAUGAGGAAAUGGACAAUUUUGAGUUCCAGAACUGUUUAGAUUUUUUUUUCUGACUUCCGAACUUUGGAGUCCAUUGGGAUUUAUUGCCUUCCUUUUUUUUUUUUUUAUUUUUUUUAUUUUAUUUU